UGGGUCGGGUUAUUUAGCCAACCAAAAUGGCAGUACAGGCUCCGACCGAGGACUGAGGAAGCUUAGGAUGACUAAUAAGAAUGGUUGCGGCGAGUGUUUUGUUGUGGAAGUAUUAGAAGAAUGUGUAAGAAACAUACGGAGAAGUCUUCCUUGUUAAAGAUCAGCAACGGCAGAUAAACAAUGCAUGAUGCAAUCUGCUCACUAAAAAGAUUACACCAAUACAUGUACAUCCCAUGACAUGUAUUUCUACCUAUCACCUAUGUAACCUUUGUCAUGCUCUUCAGAGAGAUAAUCUGUAUAGAGUGGCACCUUAACCACCACUGGUGAAAUAGAAGAUGACUAGUGGAUGGUCAUCACUUUGCAGCUCACUUUCACUUUCUGCAGCCCAUCUCUUCUCAUUCACAAUCAUUGUCUUUGGAGGAAUGGUUGCAGUGCAGUCCUCAUGGCUGGGCAGGUCUACUGCAUGUUGACAGCUGAUACUUGUUCUCUAUUUACUCCAAGAGGCCUACUACAUAUUGUACGUCAGUUAUGACUGUACUCGUGCUGGCUUCUAUGAUGUUAAUUUCCUUUACCUGCACUGCGUUAAACUUGGUCAAUUCUGUUACUGUCGAACACCAACAGAUGAAAAUAAGAUUAAGCUGAUCCUGCCAACAUUGUGACAUAAGCGGUCCAAUGUCCAAUAUCUCACUCUGCAGUCAAACAUCAUUUUUUUUAUGAACGCUCAGUAAAACAUUGGAAAUGUUAGACUUUUUUAGUAUUGAUUUUUAUAGUUACAUAUUUUUAAAGUAAUAAUAAUUCUUUUUAUGCCCCCGGAUCAAAAGAUCCCAGGGGUAUAUUGUUUUUGUCCUGUCUGUCUGUUUGUCUGUUUAUCUGUUUGUCUGUUUGUCUGUC